CCGGUUAAAGGCUGCAUAUGCUUCCACCACAUUUGUAACCAUAAGUUCUGUUGUCUGUUCAUGUAUUAUGUGUUUAGAACUUUCAUUAUUCCAACACACAAGGGAGAAUAUGACACUGAGAUGUAUGAUAGAACGAUAGUAAAAUGUGGCAUAUAUGACAUAUACUAAGCUUGGAAUCCAGGGGUCGAGGGAGGAGGGACAAGGGGGAGCCUCAGCCCCUCUUACCUCCCUCCAGUUUCCUUGUGUAUCCAUGUAAGUAUAUAUGUAUGUGUGUGUGUGUGUAUAUAUAUAUAUACACCUAGGAAAAAAUUAUUUGUUUUAGUUGUUGGCCCACCCAAAAACAAUUUAUAUAUUUUAUCAUUACAUAAGCAAUAUGAAAUACUAGAAUUAUUUAUUUUCCAUUACAUAUACUAAACAAAUUCUCAUAGCAAGGACACCCUCAAAAAAGAUUUUGAGCUUAACCAUAUUCCAUUAUGAUACAUUUGAAAACCUCAAAAUAUUUAGACAAUAAGUGUACUUAACAAUUUUUAGAAUCAAUUAUAUAUAUAUUUUUCGUCCUCCUUAAAAUAAAUAAAUAAAUCUGGUUCUGCCCCUGCUUGUAACCCUACAUUUAUAUGCAAAAAAUUCAAGAUUAGAGACUUGAAAGAUUUGAUAUUGCAGUUUACAGAAGGUACUUCUUCAAGAUUUGAUAUUGCAGUUUACAGAAGGUACUUCUUCAUUGACCGACACAAGUUCAGAUUCAACUUGGUCUUCCUACACACCAAAACAUGCCGACCAAACAAUUCACUAACAAAGAGAGUACUCUUUAGCAGCAAAUCCACCAAAUUAAAUCAAAUAGUUACUUCUUGCAUGCCUGAUCAAUCUAUAUGACACCAUCCAAAUAGGAAGCAUGUUCAACAAGUCUAAAACCAUAAGAAUAGUUUUAGUAUAGAUCAAGCACCCUUGAUACACUUAAAGGUCAAACUCACGAGCCUAGUUAAGCUAAAGUUCAAACUAC
rnacentral:lncRNA from 1 species